rnacentral:rRNA from 1 species
UGGGGGAUAUUGCACAAUGGGCGAAAGCCUGAUGCAGCGACGCCGCGUGGGGGAUGAAGGCCUUCGGGUUGUAAACUUCUUUUGCUCUGAACAAGGCGCACCAUGGGGUGUGUUGAGUGUAGGGGUUGAUUAGCGCCGGCUAACUACGUGCCAGCAGCCGCGGUAAUACGUAGGGCGCGAGCGUUGUCCGGAAUUAUUGGGCGUAAAGGGCUUGUAGGUGGCUGGUUGCGUCUGUCGUGAAAGCUCAUGGCUUAACUGUGGGUUUGCGGUGGGUACGGGCUGGCUUGAGUGCGGUAGGGGAGGCUGGAAUUCCUGGUGUAGCGGUGGAAUGCGCAGAUAUCAGGAGGAAUACCGGUGGCGAAGGCGGGUCUCUGGGCUGUUACUGACACUGAGGAGCGAAAGCAUGGGGAGCGAACAGG